CCUACGGGACGCAGCAGUGGGGGAUAUUGGACAAUGGGGGAAACCCUGAUCCAGCGAUGCCGCGUGAGGGAAGAAGGUUUUCGGAUUGUAAACCUCUGUGGAGGGGGACGAUAAUGACGGUACCUGACUAAGAAGCCCCGGCUAACUACGUGCCAGCAGCCGCGGUAAUACGUAGGGGGCAAGCGUUAUCCGGAUUUACUGGGUGUAAAGGGAGCGUAGACGGAGGAGCAAGUCUGAUGUGAAAAUCCGGGGCCCAACCCCGGAACUGCAUUGGAAACUGUUUAUCUAGAGUGUCGGAGAGGCAA
rnacentral:rRNA from 1 species